GGGGAUAUAGCUAAGCUGGGAUAGCGAUGCGUUCGCAACGCAUAGGCCGCGGGUUCGAGUCCCGUUAUCUCCA
rnacentral:tRNA from 3 species